rnacentral:rRNA from 1 species
UGGGGAAUAUUGGGCAAUGGGCGCAAGCCUGACCCAGCAACGCCGCGUGAAGGAAGAAGGCUUUCGGGUUGUAAACUUCUUUUGUCAGGGACGGGGAGAAGACGGUACCUGACGAAUAGGCCACGGCUAACUACGUGCCAGCAGCCGCGGUAAUACGUAGGUUGCAAGCGUUGUCCGGAUUUACUGGGUGUAAAGGGCGUGUAGGCGGAGGAGCAAGUCAGAUGUGAAAUCCCGGGGCUUAACCCCGGAACUGCAUUUGAAACUGUUUCCCUUGAGUAUCGGAGAGGCAAGCGGAAUUCCUAGUGUAGCGGUGAAAUGCGUAGAUAUUAGGAGGAACACCAGUGGCGAAGGCGGCUUGCUGGACGACAACUGACGCUGAGGCGCG